CAAUGGCGUAUAUUUAAGUUGUUGCAGUUAAAAAGCUCGUAGUCGGAUUUUGGCUGAGAACGAUCGGUCCGCCGUUAGGUGUGCACUGAUUGGUCUCAGCUUCCUGGUGAGGAGGUGUGCUUCACGGCCACUUAGUCACCGUGGUUACUUUGAAAAAAUUAGAGUGUUCAAAGCGGGCUUACGCUUGAAUAUAUUAGCAUGGAAUAACACCAUAGGACUCCUGUCCUAUUUCGUUGGUCUCGGGACGGGAGUAAUGAUUAAGAGGAACGGUUGGGGGCAUUCGUAUUUCAUUGUCAGAGGUGAAAUCCUUGGAUUUAUGAAAGACGAACUUCUGCGAAAGCAUUUGCCAAGGAUGUUUUCAUUGA
rnacentral:rRNA from 1 species